rnacentral:rRNA from 1 species
UACGUAAAAGACUAGUGUUAGUCAUCUUUAUUAGGUUUAAAGGGUACCUAGACGGUAAAUUAAACCCUAAAAGGGGUACUUUUUUACUAGAGUUUAAAAAGAAGGGGAGAAAUUUCGGAGUAAAGAUGAAAUGUUAUAAUACUGAAAGGACUGGUAAAGGCGAAGGCAACCUUCUAUAAAAACUGACGUUGAGGGAGAAGGCUUGGGUAACAAUAAGG